AAUCCAUAGGUUAAUGAGGCGAACCGGGGGAACUGAAACAUCUAAGUACCCCGAGGAAAAGAAAUCAACCGAGAUUCCCCCAGUAGCGGCGAGCGAACGGGGAGGAGCCCAGAGCCUGAAUCAGCAUGUGUGUUAGUGGAAGCGUCUGGAAAGGCGCGCGAUACAGGGUGACAGCCCCGUACACAAAAGCGCAUGUGCUGUGAGCUCGAUGAGUAGGGCGGGACACGUGGUAUCCUGUCUGAAUAUGGGGGGACCAUCCUCCAAGGCUAAAUACUCCUGACUGACCGAUAGUGAACCAGUACCGUGAGGGAAAGGCGAAAAGAACCCCGGCGAGGGGAGUGAAAAAGAACCUGAAACCGUGUACGUACAAGCAGUGGGAGCCCCACCACCAAAGCAUUUGCUGUACCGCGUUGACGGAGCGAAGCGACGUCAAACCGAUAAAACAGCAGUGUAAAGUGAGCCGCAGGGCGCUUUGCGCGACAGCGCAAAGG
rnacentral:rRNA from 2 species